AAGAUGAGAUUUCCCAUAGCGUCAAGCUAGUAAGAACCCUGAAAGAUGAUCAGGUUGAUAGGUCAGAGGUGGAAGCGUGGUAACAUGUGGAGCUGACUGAUACUAAUCGUUCGAGGACUUAACCAA
rnacentral:rRNA from 1 species